rnacentral:rRNA from 1 species
AUUGAACGCUGGCGGCAUGCUUUACACAUGCAAGUCGAACGGUAACAGGCCGCAAGGUGCUGACGAGUGGCGAACGGGUGAGUAAUGCAUCGGAACGUGCCCAGUCGUGGGGGGAUAACGCAGCGAAAGUUACGCUAAUACCGCAUACGCACUAAGGUGGAAAGUGGGGGAUCUUCGGACCUCAUGCUCAUGGAGUGGCCGAUAUCUGAUUAGCUAGUUGGUGAGGUAAAGGCUCACCAAGGCGACGAUCAGUAGCUGGUUUGAGAGAACGACCAGCCACACUGGAACUGAGACACGGUCCAGACUCCUACGGGAGGCAGCAGUGGGGAAUUUUGGGACAAUGGGGGCAACCCUGAUCCAGCAAUGCCGCGUGAGUGAAGAAGGCCUUCGGGUUGU